rnacentral:rRNA from 1 species
UACAGGGGUCUCAAGCGUUGUUCGGAUUCAUUGGGCGUAAAGGGCGCGUAGGCGGCGGGGUAAGUCGGGUGUGAAAUCUCAGAGCUCAACUCUGAAAUGGCACUUGAUACUGCUCUGCUAGAGGACUGGAGAGGAGAUUGGAAUUCACGGUGUAGCAGUGAAAUGCGUAGAUAUCGUGAGGAAGACCGGUGGCGAAGGCGGAUCUCUGGACAGUUCCUGACGCUGAGGCGCGAAGGCCAGGGGAGCAAACGGG